rnacentral:misc_RNA from 1 species
CACAGCUCAAGUACUAUACCGAGGCUCAAGUUCAUUACACCACUAAAGCUGUCAAAUACUACACCGAAGCGCCCAAGUACUACAAUGCAACAUAGACUGCCCCAGCUUAGUACACCGAGGCAGCGGAGCAGCGGAGUACUACUACACCACCACCGAGGCACCGGAGUACUACACAACUACUUACGCCACUCCGACUUACUACACCGAAGCACUACUCUACCCAGAGUUACUACACUACUAAAGCUUCUGAAUAUUAUACCACAACCAACGCUUCCCCAACUUACUACGAGAAGGCUCCUUAAUACUAGAGUCGAAAUUUCUAUUUGUUAAUCAUUUAAAUUCGUCGGUUAUCUUCAUGGUUACUAGUGACUGAAUUGAUUGUUGAUCUUAAACGAGAAAAUAAAAAAGACUAAA